GCAAACUUGGUCAUUUAGAGGAAGUAAAAGUCGUAACAAGGUUUCCGUAGGUGAACCUGCGGAAGGAUCAUUACAAAUCUUUUGGGGUGGUGGGGGAGCUGGUCUAGGCUGGCUUAACCUGCUGCAUCCAACAUUGGCACAGGGCCGUGAGGCCCUGAUGUUUACGCUUGUUUGUUUGACAGAUUUACUUGAGACUAAAAUAUAGACAACUUUUAACAAUGGAUCUCUUGGCUCUUGCAUCGAUGAAGAACGCAGC
rnacentral:misc_RNA from 1 species